rnacentral:rRNA from 1 species
AGAGUUUGAUCAUGGCUCAGGACGAACGCUGGCGGCGUGCUUAACACAUGCAAGUCGAACGGUGACAGAGGAGCUUGCUCCUCUCGAUCAGUGGCGAACGGGUGAGUAACACGUGAGUAACCUGCCCCUCACUCUGGGAUAAGCGCUGGAAACGGCGUCUAAUACCGGAUACGACCUUCGAAGGCAUCUUCAGGAGGUGGAAAGAAUUUUGGUGAGGGAUGGACUCGCGGCCUAUCAGGUAGUUGGUGAGGUAAUGGCUCACCAAGCCGACGACGGGUAGCCGGCCUGAGAGGACGACCAGCCACACUGGGACUGAGACACGGCCCAGACACCUACGGGUGGCAGCAGUCGAGAAUUUUUGACAAUGGGGGAAACCCUGAUCGAGCGACGCCGCGUGGAGGAUGAAGGUCUUCGGAUUGUAAACUCCUGUCAUUGGGGAACAAGGUGCAUACGUUAACUGCGUGUGCAUUGAUAGUACCCGAAGAGGAAGAGACGGCUAACUCUGUGCCAGCAGCGGCGGUAAUUC